ACGUGCCAGCAGCCGCGGUAAUACGUAGGGUGCAAGCGUUGUCCGGAAUUAUUGGGCGUAAAGAGCUCGUAGGCGGUUUGUCGCGUCUGCUGUGAAAUCUGGGGGCUCAACCCCCAGCCUGCAGUGGGUACGGGCAGACUAGAGUGCGGUAGGGGAGAUUGGAAUUCCUGGUGUAGCGGUGGAAUGCGCAGAUAUCAGGAGGAACACCGAUGGCGAAGGCAGAUCUCUGGGCCGUAACUGACGCUGAGGAGCGAAAGCAUGGGGAGCGAACAGGAUUAGAUACCCUGGUAGUCCAUGCCGUAAACGUUGGGAACUAGAUGUAGGGGCCAUUCCACGGUUUCUGUGUCGCAGCUAACGCAUUAAGUUCCCCGCCUGGGGAGUACGGCCGCAAGGCUAAAACUCAAAGGAAUUGACGGGGGCCCGCACAAGCGGCGGAGCAUGCGGAUUAAUUCGAUGCAACGCGAAGAACCUUACCAAGGCUUGACAUAUACCGGAAACGUCCAGAGAUGGUCGCCCCGCAAGGUCGGUAUACAGGUGGUGCAUGGUUGUCGUCAGCUCGUGUCGUGAGAUGUUGGGUUAAGUCCCGCAACGAGCGCAACCCUCGUUCUAUGUUGCCAGCACGUUAUGGUGGGAACUCAUAGGAGACUGCCGGGGUCAACUCGGAGGAAGGUGGGGAUGACGUCAAAUCAUCAUGCCCCUUAUGUCUUGGGCUUCACGCAUGCUACAAUGGCCGAUACAAAGGGCUGCAAUACCGUAAGGUGGAGCGAAUCCCAAAAAGUCGGUCUCAGUUCGGAUUGAGGUCUGCAACUCGACCUCAUGAAGUCGGAGUCGCUAGUAAUCGCAGAUCAGCAACGCUGCGGUGAAUACGUUCCCGGGCCUUGUACACACCGCCCGUCAAGUCAUGAAAGUCGGUAACACCCGAA
rnacentral:rRNA from 1 species